rnacentral:lncRNA from 1 species
UAAUAUGCGUGUUGGUGAUCACACCAAAGAGCCAAGCCACAUUGCAGCUGCUAGGUAAUUGCCUGUCAACAAUAGGAGAUAUACCUGGUUGUGCUGAAGAAGUGAUCACAUCUAUAUUAACUAUUCAGAUAAGGAUCGGGCCUCAAUGCUGCAGGGCUGUGCUUGAUGUAGAAGAUAAUUGCUGGGGCCAAGUUUUCCCUCUCAUUACUUCUACAUUUCCGUUGUCCAUCCGGAGAUAUUGCACCAGGCCACGCUUUCACCAGCUGAACGGACAGCUGUCUGCUGAGUAUUCGGCUUUUUCGCCUGCACCAACGCCUGAGAUUGAAGAUGCUCCACCAAUGUCGAAUGGAAUGGAUGCCUAGAAGAUUAUUAGAAUAUGAAUUGUGCGAUUGAUUGAUAAUGCGACUCUUUAUGUGAUGAUAGGGGGAAAGAAUUACGAAUAAAAUUAGUGACAUCAGGAAAUUUGGUUGAGUUAAUUUCUUAUCCUCAGAUAAACUGGCCUGAUGUUCAAGUAGGCUUAUCAAGUUCUAUCAUUGUGAUGGAACAGGAUGGAAAAGCUGCUCUAUAAUCGGGGGUAGAUCUAAUAAAAAGCACAUGAGCAAACUGUUCUCCUAAAUCCUUUUUAUAUAUUUUUUCAUCAUUUUAAAUUAUAUAAAAUUAUAAAAAUCAUUUUAAAAAAAAAUUGAAAUAUAUAAAUAUUAUCUAAAAAUUUACAUGAUCCUAGCCUGCGAAUGAAUGAAGUUAUAUCUUUAAGUUCUACCUUAUAACAGUAAACGAUAUUAACGUCAUUACACAGUCAAAUCUUUACGGCGAGCUGAAUCACAUCUGACGUAAUGCACACUCAACAUAUUAAAUAUGAAAAACUCAGGUUGAGAUUUUUUGAGUUAUGGUUGAUUUCAGAUUGACCAAAAAACAACCGAAAUUAAGCUAUAUGUAUAAUAUAAAUUGUCGAAUAUAACAAAUAAUUUAUAACAUUAUUAUAAAAUUAUUUAAAGAAUUUGUCCCAGAAAAUGGGCCUAAACUUUGAAAUUGCUUAGGGAAAUGGAACAAAAUGAUAAAUGAGGCCCAAAGCAUGUAUAAGAAAAGCCCACCAUAUCGCCCACUAUAAAUAAAAGCUCCCAGCUCCAAGUUGUUAACAUCUCUGAAACUAGGGUCUAUAGCUUUCUCUUCUCACGCCGCUCAUUUCAAAGUAUUUUCAAUUCGACGAGGCUUCUCUAUCUGGUCGGCAGAAUUAUAAGUUUCUGAUCGACUCGUUCCCUUGAAGCAAUAUUCAUUGUGCUGUUCUUUUCUUAUUUUCUCUUUUCUCUCUUUUUUGAUUCAGAGAACAUUUGAACAGCUAUAUCCAUAAAUAAUAUUAUGACAAUUUCAUUUCAAGAAUUAAAAGCACAAUUGGCAACGGUGAUGAGUCAUACAGACCUGUAAUGAUGUGCGAAGAUGAUCGCAAUUCAUUAUGAACAUCUAAGGGACUGAGUUGUCAUUUAUAAUACCUGUUUUUUUAUUAAUAGUGUUAUGUUACUAAUAUUUUGAAUUUUUAGAAUCAAUCGUAUAGAAGAAGAAGAGUAUGAUGAAGAAAUCAUUCGGAUUCCCAAUGAAUUAUCCGUGUUUACUUACCAGCUACUUCUGACUCUCCCUUCUAUAAUUAUCAUAUCGAUUUGAUUUAUUCUCCUUGUACCGAUGCAAACGAGUAACGGUGGGCAAUGGUUUAUUUACUGAAAUUUUGCUUAUAAAAAAUGUGAUACGUUGGACAAUACACUAAUGUUUUAGAGCGUUGCUCGAGAGAAAUUCAUGUUAUAUAAUGAUAAAUUAUUUAUGAUGUAAUUUAUUAAUGAAAUUUUAAUUUUUAAAAGAGAAGUGAUAUACUUUGACUAAUGUUGUAAUGGUUGAUUUCUAGUUUUUUAGUUACUCACAGCUCAUAUAAUAAUCCCUUUUAUCGAGCAAGAAGCUAUGUUAUUGUGGGGCUCUUUGGCAACGGUUUAAAAGGAUUUUUGAGUUUAAAAAUUAGAAGCACUUAUUUUGUACUAUUUGUGUAAAAAGUCAAAAAACACUUCAAGUUAGGAACGCUAGCUUUAGUUUCAGGGUUUCUACAUUUUAAUCACUUAUAAAUCUUAACUUAAUUUUAAUUUUUACCCCACUUAUUUAUUUUAAGCAAACAUUUAUUUUAAACUCACACCUAGUAUGUGCCCCUUCAAAGCUGAGAGCUAACAAACCACGAUUAAGAGGUGUCAGAAUGGACUCAAAACCACAAAUCUAAACUGAUCCCAAUCAAAAUUCAGGAUAUGGAUUAAUAUGGAUUUAGACGUGAGUGUCACUUAUCAUGAGUGAUGAGAAUAUGAGAUGUGGGUCAGGUUGAGUAUUCAGAUAUUAUUUUUAUUAAUUCUUAUGGAUUGCAUAAAAAUAUAUUUUAAAUAAAAAAAUAAAAAUAUGCAUUUACUUUCUCAUAAAAAUAAAAAAGUUUGUAACACUAAAACCGAAAUUACGAAUAUUUAAAAAAUUGAAAAUCCCUUACAAUCUCCCAUAUUAAAAAAAAAAAG